rnacentral:rRNA from 1 species
GUAUUUUAACUGUGCUAAGGUAGCAUAAUCAUUUGUCUUUUGAUUGAGGGCUGGAAUGAAGGGUUGGACGAGGUAUUAGCUUUCUUUAAUUUAAUUUGAGGAAUUUAAUUUUUGAGUUAAAAAGCUUAAAUUUAUUUAUGGGACGAGAAGACCCUAUAGAUCUUUAUAGUUUUAUAUUUUAGUAAUUUGGGGAUUUAUGUAUUUUAAGUAAAUGAACUAUUUUGUUGGGGUGACUGUAGAAUUUUAACAACUUCUA